rnacentral:piRNA from 1 species
UCCCCAGGUUGCUUGACACACAGUCUGGA